rnacentral:rRNA from 1 species
UGAGUAACCUGCCCUUCACUCUGGGAUAACUCCGGGAAACCGGGGCUAAUACUGGAUAUGACUCGAACAGGCAUCUGUUUCGGGUGGAAAGAUUUAUUGGUUGGAGGAUGGACUCGCGGCCUAUCAGCUUGUUGGUGAGGUAAUGGCUCACCAAGGCGACGACGGGUAGCCGGCCUGAGAGGGCGAUCGGCCACACUGGGACUGAGACACGGCCCAGACUCCUACGGGAGCA